rnacentral:rRNA from 1 species
UGACGGUCAAGUCAGCAUGGCCUUUAUAUCCUGGGCUACACACACGCUACAAUGGGAAGGGACAAUAGGUUGCGAAGCCGCGAGGCGGAGCCAAUCCAAGCAAAACUUCCCUCAGUUCAGAUUGCAGGCUGCAACUCGCCUGCAUGAAGUUGGAGUUGCUAGUAAACGCAGGUCAGCCAUACUGCGUUGAAUACGUUCCCGGGGCCUU